rnacentral:rRNA from 1 species
UACGAAGGGGGCUAGCGUUGCUCGGAAUCACUGGGCGUAAAGCGCACGUAGGCGGAUCGUUAAGUCAGGGGUGAAAUCCUGGAGCUCAACUCCAGAACUGCUUUUGAUACUGAGAAGCUUGAGUCCGGGAGAGGUGAGUGGAACUGCGAGUGUAGAGGUGAAAUUCGUAGAUAUUCGCAAGAACACCAGUGGCGAAGGCGGCUCACUGGCCCGGUACUGACGCUGAGGUGCGAAAGCGUGGGGAGCAAACAGGG